AAAAGUGUAGGUCGCAUCAAGACUUCUAAUCUUUGUUGUAGGAGGUUCGAUUCCUUUUACUUUUU
rnacentral:tRNA from 1 species